UACGUAGGGUGCGAGCGUUGUCCGGAAUUACUGGGCGUAAAGAGCUCGUAGGUGGUUUGUCGCGUUGUUCGUGAAAACUCACAGCUCAACUGUGGGCGUGCGGGCGAUACGGGCAGACUGGAGUACUGCAGGGGAGACUGGAAUUCCUGGUGUAGCGGUGGAAUGCGCAGAUAUCAGGAGGAACACCGGUGGCGAAGGCGGGUCUCUGGACAGUUCCGUGACGCUGAGGCACGAAGGCCAGGGGAGCAAACGGG
rnacentral:rRNA from 1 species